rnacentral:lncRNA from 1 species
CAUGAUAUAAACAAACAAAUAUGAAGAAAAUAAGAAGAAGAAUCAGAAAAGAUGUUUUUGGAAAACCUUUCAGAAAUCCUAAAUUGACGACAAGUGAUUUUAAAAAGGGAAAAUUUGGGAAAAAUACUUUGAGUGUCCAGUAGAACACAAAUACCUUACAGAUCUAAGAAAAUAAACAAAGAAAGAACCUCGAAUAGCUUAUGGUUUCAGAGAAAAUCCUAGAAAUGAGAAAGGCUUGGGAAAGUCAGAUCUUGGGUCGAAGAGGUCAGGAAUUGGGCUUCUCGUGCUUGAAUGUGCCGGAGCAUGGCCAGAGAAUCCAUGGAUUCCAACGAUAUGAGAAGAUCUAAAAGAGAAUCAUCGAAGUUGAACUAUAAAACCUUGAACACCCAAGGUCUAAAGGUGAGAGGAGGAAAUAUAGACCAUCCAUGGCUCGAGAAGCCAUAGAUUCUGGUGAAAUCACGGUGUGAAAAUUUAG